rnacentral:rRNA from 1 species
AUACGGAAGAUGCGAGCGUUAUCCGGAUUUAUUGGGUUUAAAGGGAGCGUAGGCGGAUUGUUAAGUCAGCGGUCAAAUGUCGGUGCCCAACAUCGUCCUUCCGUUGAAACUGGCAGUCUUGAAUGCACACAGGGAAGGUGGAAUUCGUCGUGUAGCGGUGAAAAGCUUAGAUAUGACGAGGAACUCCGAUCGCGAAGGCAUCCUUCUGGAGUGCGAUUGACGCUGAGGCUCGAAAGCGCGGGUAUCAAACAGGAUUAGAUACCCUGGUAGACCGCGCCGUAAACGAUUGAUGCUCGACAUUGGGGCAUUAGUUUCAGUGACCAAGCGAAAGCAUUAAGCAUCCCACCUGGGGAGUACGCCGGCAACGGUGAAACUCAAAUGAAUUGACGGGG